GUGCGCUUUAUCAAGCGCCUUCCCGCGCGGCAGCCUUCCCAGUCUGUCUGCUCCUCGGCGGUAGCUGUCCUUUCGGCCCUUUUACGCAUUAAUUUCCAGGACUCGAAUUCACUGCCAUGUCCUCUGAAGAGGGGAAGCUCUUCGUGGGAGGGCUCAACUUCAACACCGAUGAGCAGGCUCUGGAAGACCACUUCAGCAGCUUUGGGCCUAUUUCUGAGGUGGUCGUUGUCAAGGACCGGGAGACUCAGCGAUCCCGGGGUUUUGGCUUCAUCACCUUCACCAAUCCAGAGCAUGCCUCAGAUGCCAUGAGAGCCAUGAAUGGAGAGUCCCUGGAUGGUCGCCAGAUCCGUGUGGACCAUGCAGGCAAGUCGGCCCGCGGAACCAGAGGGGGUGCCUUUGGGGCCCAUGGGCGUGGUCGCGGCUACUCUAGAGGUAAGUGCAGUGGUAAGUUUGAUCAUGGAGUAUGGGGAGAGCCACCUGUUAGUGGUUUAUGUCUGGACAACUGCCAUUAAAUAUUUCUUAUCUGCUGUAGGUGGUGGGGACCAGGGCUAUGGGAGUGGCAGAUAUGACAGUCGACCUGGAGGAUAUGGCUAUGGCUAUGGAAGGUCCAGAGACUAUGGUGGCAGAAACCAGGGUGGUUAUGACCGCUACUCAGGAGGAAAUUACAGAGACAAUUACGACAACUGAGAUGAGGCAUGCACACCUAAUUAUACACAAGGAAUAAAACUUCUGAUCCAGGAUCGUCCUUCCAAAUGGCUGUAUUUAUAAAAAUUUUUGGAGCUGCACUGAAACAGCUGUUAUAGUACAUCAACUUCUGUUUUUGAAUUGAGCUCCCAAGGUGGCUUGUUAAAGACCUUUUAGAAAGCUCCAUGUGUUUUUUACAAUUUUUCUCCCAUUUAAAGACAAAUUCUGGAAUAUUUGUAGAAUCUGGAUGUUUUUCCUUUUACCGGUUUUUUAGUUUUGGCCUCUCAGGAUUAUUGUUCUGGCAAAAAAUGUUUGGCCAGACUGAUUUUAAAAAAAAAAAUAAUGUGCGUUUAGGGACAUUUUAAAAACCUGUACACAAUGUUUAUCAUGGUUAGGAAGCAAUUUCUGAAUGUAACUAUAAGAGAUGAACAUGAUACUUAGAUGUGUUUUUUACUCAAGAUCACUGCCCUGAUUAUAUAGAAGUUUCUUAAAACUAUUUGUGAAUGUCAUUUUUUUUUAAUACUGGAAGAAAAAAAGAUUCUGUUGUGUCUCAUGUAGUGUUUAGGACGUCAUCACGGAGAUGAUUAAAAAAUUGAAACCUGAAAACAAAUUGA